UACGAAGGGGGCUAGCGUUGCUCGGAAUCACUGGGCGUAAAGGGUGCGUAGGCGGGUCUUUAAGUCAGGGGUGAAAUCCUGGAGCUCAACUCCAGAACUGCCUUUGAUACUGAGGAUCUUGAGUUCGGGAGAGGUGAGUGGAACUGCGAGUGUAGAGGUGAAAUUCGUAGAUAUUCGCAAGAACACCAGUGGCGGAGGCGGCUCACUGGCCCGAUACUGACGCUGAGGAGCGAAAGCGUGGGGAGCGAACAGG
rnacentral:rRNA from 1 species